UACGGGGGGGGCGAGCGUUGUUCGGAAUUACUGGGCGUAAAGGGUUUGUAGGUGGCCAACUAAGUCAGACGUGAAAUCCCUCAGCUUAACUGGGGAACUGCGUCUGAUACUGGUUGGCUUGAGUGCAGGAGAGGAACGCGGAAUUCCAGGUGUAGCGGUGAAAUGCGUAGAUAUCUGGAGGAACACCGGUGGCGAAGGCGGCGUUCUGGACUGUAACUGACACUGAGAAACGAAAGCCAGGGUAGCAAACGGG
rnacentral:rRNA from 1 species